CGGGGCCAGAGCAGAGAGC
rnacentral:miRNA from 1 species